UGACGGGGACCCGCACAAGUGGUGGAGCAUGUUGUUUAAUUCGACGAUACACGUAGAACCUUACCUAGACUUGACAUCCUUGGCGAAGUUAUAGAAAUAUAAUGGAGGUUAACCGAGAGACAGGUGGUGCAUGGUUGUCGUCAGCUCGUGUCGUGAGAUGUUGGGUUAAGUCCCGCAACGAGCGCAACCCUUAUCGUUAGUUAUUUUGUCUAACGAGACUGCCAACGCAAGUUGGAGGAAGGUGGGGAUGACGUCAAAUCAUCAUGCCCCUCAUGUCUAGGGCCACAAACGUGCUACAAUGGUCGGUACAAACAGUCGCUAAUCCGUAAGAUAGAGCUAAUCUGUAAAGCCGAUCUCAGUUCGGAUAGAGGGCUGAAAUUCGCCCUCUUGAAGUUGGAAUCACUAGUAAUCGCGAAUCAGCCAUGUCGCGGUGAAUACGUUCUCGGGUCUUGUACACACCGCCC
rnacentral:rRNA from 1 species